rnacentral:rRNA from 1 species
UCCUACGGGAGGCAGCAGUGGGGAAUAUUGCACGAUGGGCGAAAGCCUGAUGCAGCGACGCCGCGUGAGGGAUGAAGGCCUUCGGGUUGUAAACCUCUUUCAGCAGGGAAGAGGCAGCCGGGUUUUCUUGGUUGUGACGGUACCUGCGGAAGAAGCACCGGCUAACUACGUGCCAGCAGCCGCGGUAAUACGUAGGGUGCAAGCGUUGUCCGGAAUUAUUGGGCGUAAAGAGCUUGUAGGUGGUUUGUCGCGUCUGUUGUGAAAUUUCGGGGCUCAACCCCGAACUUGCAGUGGAUACGGGCAGACUAGAGUGUGGUAGGGGAGACUGGAAUUCCUGGUGUAGCGGUGAAAUGCGCAGAUAUCAGGAGGAACACCGAUGGCGAAGGCAGGUCUCUGGGCCAUUACUGACACUGAGAAGCGAAAGCAUGGGGAGCGAACAGGAUUAGAUACCCUGGUAGUCCAUGCCGUAAACGGUGGGAACUAGGUGUGGGCCUCAUUCCACGAGGUCCGUGCCGCAGCUAACGCAUUAAGUUCCCCGCCUGGGGAGUACGGCCGCAAGGCUAAAACUCAAAGGAAUUGACGGGGGCCCGCACAAGCGGCGGAGCAUGCGGAUUAAUUCGAUGCAACGCGAAGAACCUUACCAAGGCUUGACAUGUGCCGGUAAAGUGCAGAGAUGUGCUCCCCGCAAGGUCGGUACACAGGUGGUGCAUGGUUGUCGUCAGCUCGUGUCGUGAGAUGUUGGGUUAAGUCCCGCAACGAGCGCAACCCUCGUUCUAUGUUGCCAGCGGGUUAUGCCGGGGACUCAUGGGAGACUGCCGGGGUCAACUCGGAGGAAGGUGGGGAUGACGUCAAAUCAUCAUGCCCCUUAUGUCCAGGGCUGCAAACACGCUACAAUGGCCGGUACAAAGGGCUGCAAACUCGUGAGGGUGAGCGAAUCCCAUAAAGCCGGUCUCAGUUCGGAUUGUAGGCUGCAACUCGCCUGCAUGAAGCUGGAGUUGCUAGUAAUCCCGGAUCAGCACGCCGGGGUGAAUACGUUCCCGGGCCUUGUACACACCGCCAU